UACGGAGGGUGCAAGCGUUAUCCGGAUUCACUGGGUUUAAAGGGUGUGUAGGUGGGUUGGUAAGUCAGUGGUGAAAUCCCCGAGCUUAACUUGGGAACUGCCAUUGAUACUAUCAGUCUUGAAUACCGUGGAGGUCAGCGGAAUAUGUCAUGUAGCGGUGAAAUGCUUAGAUAUGACAUAGAACACCAAUUGCGAAGGCAGCUGGCUACUCGGAUAUUGACACUGAGGCACGAAAGCGUGGGGAUCAAACAGG
rnacentral:rRNA from 1 species